rnacentral:rRNA from 1 species
GAGUUUGAUCAUGGCUCAAGAUGAACGCUGGCGGUAUGCUUAACGCAUGCAGGUCGAACAAAAGUUUUUAACUUUAGUGGCGAACGGGUGCGUAAUACAUGAGAAUCUACCCUUAAGAGGAGAAUAACUGCUGGAAACGGCUGCUAAUACUCUAUAUGUCGAGAGAUGAAAUAAUUUAUUGCCUAAGGAUGAGCUCGCGCCUGAUUAGCUAGUUGGUGAGGUAAUGGCUCACCAAGGCCACGAUCAGUAGCUGGUUUGAGAAAACGAAUACCCACACUGGGACUGAAAAACGGCCCAAACUCCUCCGGGAGGCAGCAGUGAGGAAUUUUCCGCAAUGGGCGAAAGCCUCACGAAGCAAUCCCGCGUGAGGGAUGAAGGAUCUUGGUCUGUAAACCUCUUUUCUCUAGAAAGAAGGUUGGAGGGUACUUGAGGAAUAAGCAUCGGCUAACUCCGUGCCAGCAACCGCGGUAAUACGGGGGAUGCAAGCGUUAUCCGGAAUCAUUGGGCGUAAAGCGCCUGUAGGUGGUUAAUUAAAUCUGCUGUUAAAGACUAAGGCUUAACCCUAGAAAAAGCAUGGAAACUAAUUGACUAGAGUAUGGCAGGGGUAGAGGGCGUUUCUCGUGUAGCGGUGAAAUGCGUAGAUAUUGUAGAGAACAACUGUGGCGAAGCGCUCUAUUAAACAUAGUGACACUCGAAUGCUAAGCUAUGGUAGCAAAAGGGAUUAGAUACCCCUGUAGUCCUAGCCGUAUACGAUGGAUACUAGAUGUUGUAUAUUUUUACAGUAUUCUAGUUAACGCGUUAAGUAUCCCACCCGGGGAGUACGCUCGCAAGGGUGAAACUCAAAGGAAUUGACGGGGGCCCGCACAAGCGGUGGAGCAUGUCGUUUAAUUUGAUGCAACGCGAAGAACCUUACCAGGGCUUGACAUAUUAUGUAUUUUUUUUUAAAAACGAAGUGCCUUUGGGAAUGUAGAUACAGGUGGUGCAUGGCUGUCGUCAUCUCGUGUCGUGAGAUGUUUGGUUAAGUCCCGCAACGAGCGCAACCCUUAUUUUUUGUUACCAAUUCGUUGGGUUUUUUAGAAAGACUGCCGGUGACAAACCGGAGGAAGGUGAGGAAGACGUCAAGUCAGCAUUCCCUUUAUGUCCUUGGCUUCACACGUUUUACAAUGGUUAAGACAAAGAGUCGCAAGCUCGUGAAAGUUAUGUACUCUAGUAAACUUAACUUAAGUUCAGAUUGUAGGUUGCAACUCGCUUACAUGAAUCGGAAUCGCUUGUAUUCGUUGUUCAGCCAUACAAUACAUAAUCCGUUCCCGGGCUUUGUACACACCGCCUUUCACACCAAGUGAGAUGGUUUUACCCGAAACCGUUAGUUUAACCCUUUGGAGAGAGACGUCUAAGGUAGGGCUAGUGGCUGGGGUGAGGAAGUAACAAGGUUCCAUGGGUGAAUCCUUCACACUACU